rnacentral:lncRNA from 1 species
CAACGAACACAAAUCGCACAGUGGCAACAACAGUGAAGGGAAGAACACACGAUGUUCCUAUGAAGCUCACCUCCUCAAGCAUGACUCCUUUUUCCUAACCACUCUCACAUAGCCCUUCACUCUGCCAGGGGCUGGGCACUAAAUAAAAUGUGGUGAAGAACCCACCCGUGUUGGUGGCGCCUGUCUUCGCAGAUCCAGCAGUAUGGUGUGGACACAGACAUCACACAGACUGGAAACACUGGCAGCAAACCAAUGUGAGAAAAG